rnacentral:rRNA from 1 species
AAAAACAUAGUUUUGAGAGAUGAAAAAUACAUUCAAAAUUUCCCCUGCCCACUGAAACAUAUUAAUUUAAUGGCCGCAGUACUUUGACUGUGCUAAGGUAGCAUAAUAAAUUGGCUUUUAAUUGAAGUCGAGAAUGAACGGGAUUACAAUCAAUUCCUGUCUCGCUCUAGGUUUUUUGAAAUUACUAAUUAGGUGAAAAUUCCUAAACAAUUAUUUAAUAGACGAGAAGACCCUUAGAGUUUUAAUUAAUUAAGUUGAAUGUAUAAUCUAUGAAUUAUAUAAAUUAUACUUUACUUUAAUAUUUUUGUUGGGGCAACAAAUUAACAAUUUAAGUUAACUUAGUAAUUUGUGAUUAAUUAAUAAUACACUUAAAUAUUACACACCAAAAGUAUUUUAUAGAUGAAUAAGACUACCUAAGGGAUAACAGCAUAAUUUAAGUUUAAGAUUAUGACCUCGAUGUUGGAUUAGGGCCUUAUUUGAUUAACCAUUUAAUAAGAAGUGUUCUGUUCGAACAAUAAUUUCCCUACAUGAUC